GAUGAACGCUAGCUACAGGCUUAACACAUGCAAGUCGUGGGGCAUCAUGAUGUAGUAAUACAUUGAUGGCGACCGGCGCACGGGUGAGUAACGCGUAUCCAACCUACCCUCCACUCAAGUAUAGGCUUCCGAAAGGGAGAUUAAUCCUUGAUAUCGUCAUUCUCUCUCCUGUUAGAAUGAUAAAAGGACAUCGUUUCGGUAGAGGAUGGGGAUGCGUUCCAUUAGGUAGUAGGUGGUUUAACAGGCCACCUAGCCGAUGAUGGAUAGGGGUUCUGAGAGGAAUAUCCCCCACACUGGUACUGAGAUACGGACCAGACUCCUACGGGAGGCAGCAGUGAGGAAUAUUGGUCAAUGGGCGCAAGCCUGAACCAGCCAUGUAGCGUGAAGGAUGACGGUUUUUUUGAUUGUAAACUUCUUUUCUGUGCGAUUAAAGUGUGGCAUUUAUGCCAUAUUGCAGUUAUCUCAGGAAUAAGCAUCGGCUAACUCCGUGCCAGCAGCCGCGGUAAUACGGAGGAUGCGAGCGUUAUCCGGAUUUAUUGGGUUUAAAGGGAGCGUAGAUGGUUUUUUAAGUCAGCUGUCAAAUGUAUGGGCUCAACCCUUAUUAUCAGUUGAAACUGUAAGACUUGAGUGCGGUGUGGGUACAUGGAAUUCGUGGUGUAGCGGUGAAAUGCAUAGAUAUCACGAAGAACUCCGAAAGCGUAGGCAUUGUACCAUAGCGCCACUGACAUUGAUGCUCGAAGGUGCGGGAAUCAAACAGG
rnacentral:rRNA from 1 species